AGCGAACGCUGGCGGCAGGCCUAACACAUGCAAGUCGAGCGGCCGUAGCAAUACGGCAGCGGCAGACGGGAGAGUAACACGUGGGAACGUACCUUUCAGUUCGGAACAACCAAGGGAAACUUUGGCUAAUACCGGAUACGCCCGUAAGGGGAAAGAUUUAUCGCUGAAAGAUCGGCCCGCGUCUGAUUAGCUAGUUGGUGGGGUAAUGGCCCACCAAGGCGACGAUCAGUAGCUGGUCUGAGAGGAUGAUCAGCCUCACUGGGACUGAGACACGGCCCAGACUCCUACGGGAGGCAGCAGUGGGGAAUAUUGGACAAUGGGCGCAAGCCUGAUCCAGCCAUGCCGCGUGGAUGAUGAAGGCCCUAGGGUUGUAAAGUCCUUUCGGCGGGGAAGAUAAUGACGGUACCCGCAGAAGAAGCCCCGGCUAACUUCGUGCCAGCCGCCGCCGUAAAAC
rnacentral:rRNA from 1 species